rnacentral:pre_miRNA from 1 species
AAGCAGUGUGACAUGCCCGUCGUUUGUUGAACUCUGAUUAUUUUAUUUUUUAUUAAUUGUUUGGGGUAACGGGGUGUUACACUUUA